CUUUUUACAUGUAUAAGGGAUUAAUUUGCAAUUGCGACCUGUACAAAUGUUUAAGACAGUAAAACACUUAAAAAAAUGUAAACACAUUAUAAAUGUUAGAAAGUAUAGGUUUUCACCAUUGCUGUGUUCAGGAUUUUUUUUUGGGCGGAGCUAAAACGGUGGCUCGAUGACGCACUGGAGCCACUGAGCUCCUGGCCCCUCCCCAAACAACAUAACUAGAGCACACAUUCGCGUCAGUUCGCCGUUCAAUCGCGAGUUUCUGUGGACUACCAUCGUUUAAAUACCUUGACCGGAGCAUAACUGGUUAACUUCACACAAGAGACCUACUGUUGGACAAUCGUUUUGGCUUUAAAGGUAAAUGCAUUGUUAGUUACAAUGUCUAGUUACUGGGCCAAAAGGAGACGAAUAUUGAAAGGAGUUGAGAGGGACAAACAGGAAAUUGCAGCUGCAAACGAUGCUCUACUUGCUGUUAUUCCUGACUUUGACCAAGUAAAUCCUCCUGUAAAUGAACAUCAACAUGGAAUGGCUUCAACAAGCCAUGGACAAACUGUAACCCCUGAAGCACAGGAAAUAACUGUUGAUGAGGUGUAUGAACCUAGUGAAAUUUUUUCCUCAAGCACAGAAGAUAGUGAGGAGGAAGAGGAUUGCCUAAGGACACAAUUGGCAGGGUGGGCUAUUGACAACAUGAUCCCCCAUGUGGCACUGGGUAAGCUUUGGCGUUGCUUGACAACAGUUUGAGGCAGGAUAAAGAGCUCCAGGAACGAUUUCUUCGGUUUUUGGCAAUCAAAUGUGGGAGGGACCUAAAGACAACCGUCUGGCGGAUGCUUCAAAGUAUCUUCUCUAAUCACCUUUCCAUCAAUACAACCUGGACUGGAGUUGGGGAUAAAGCAUGUUUUAGAGACAUGUUCCUGAAGACCAUUGUUCAAAGAGCCAUCCGGAAGAACCCGGCAACACAGGAUGCCACUGAUGAAGCCAUCCAGGUUAACGUUACGCGUUACCUGAAAGGAGCAUCUGACCGUGAAGGCGGAAAAAGGCGCCGCACAGCUGAGAGGGACCCACAGCCGACCCCUUAAACCUAGGCUGACUACUGACAUCCCAGCAUCACUGACAACUGGAACCCUUUCUUUAUCCUGCAGUCAGUAACAUCAAGACCCCUAAAGAAGCCAGAAGUGUCAGACUGCACUCCCCAAUCCACACUGUUCACUGUGGAUAUUAUCAUAGUGCUUAACUUAUUAUAUUGUUAAAUAUAGCUUGUAAAUCCUUGUGCCACAGGUCAGCAUUGCAGUUAUAUCUGUUCUACUACUUUUUUUACCUCAGUAUUUUUUAUAUAUAUUUGAAGAUGUUUAUCACAGAUACAAGAGACAUCUUGUACCCCAGGUCAGCAAUGCCAUUAUAAUGGUCUAUUCUAC